GAUGAACGCUGGCGGCGUGCCUAAUACAUGCAAGUCGAGCGAACAGACGAGGAGCUUGCUCCUCUGACGUUAGCGGCGGACGGGUGAGUAACACGUGGAUAACCUACCUAUAAGACUGGGAUAACUUCGGGAAACCGGAGCUAAUACCGGAUAAUAUAUUGAACCGCAUGGUUCAAUAGUGAAAGACGGUUUUGCUGUCACUUAUAGAUGGAUCCGCGCCGCAUUAGCUAGUUGGUAAGGUAACGGCUUACCAAGGCAACGAUGCGUAGCCGACCUGAGAGGGGGAUCGGCCACACUGGAACUGAGACACGGUCCAGACUCCUACGGGAGGCAGCAGUAGGGAAUCUUCCGCAAUGGGCGAAAGCCUGACGGAGCAACGCCUCGUGAGUGAUGAAGGUCUUCGGAUCGUAAAACUCUGUUAUUAGGGAAGAACAAAUGUGUAAGUAACUAUGCACGUCUUGACGGUACCUAAUCAGAAAGCCACGGCUAACUACGUG
rnacentral:rRNA from 1 species